rnacentral:rRNA from 1 species
AUUGAACGCUGGCGGCAGGCCUAACACAUGCAAGUCGAGCGGAGCGGCGGACGGGUGAGUAAUGCCUAGGAAUCUGACUGGUAUAGGGGGAUAACGUCCGGAAACGGGCGCUAAUACCGCAUACUAUCAGAUGAGCCUAGGUCGGAUUAGCUAGUUGGUGGGGUAAAGGCAUACCAAGGCGAUGAUCCGUACCUGGUCUGAGAGGAUGACCAGUCACACUGGAACUGAGACACGGUCCAGACUCCGACGGGAGGCAGCAGUGGGGAAUAUUGGACAAUGGGCGAAAGCCUGAUCCAGCCAGGCCGCGUGGGUGAGGAAGGUCUUCGGAUUGUAAAGCACUGUAAGUUGGGAGGCGUUACCAACAGAAUAAGCACCGGCUAACUACGUGCCAGCAGCCGCGGUAAUUC